rnacentral:misc_RNA from 1 species
GAUGAAGAACGUAGCGAAAUGCGAUAAGUAAUGCGAAUUGCAGAAUUUCCGUGAGUCAUCGAAUCUUUGAACGCACAUUGCGCCCACUGGUAUUCCGGUGGGCAUGCCUGUUCGAGCGUCAUUAUCCUCCCUCAAACCCCGGGUUUGGUGUUGGACCCAAGUUGUGUGAACAACUGGUCUCAAAGACAAUGACGCCGUCCGUGGGACCCUCGGUGCAACGAGCUUUUAGGAGCACGCAUCGAGUUGCAAGGACCUUCCGGGCCGGUCUCCUUUACCAUUUUACAAGGUUGACCUCGGAUCAGGUAGGAAUACCCGCUGAACUUAAGCAUAUCAAUAAGCGGAGGA